CUACGGGGUGCAGCAGUGGGGAAUAUUGGACAAUGGGGGAAACCCUGAUCCAGCAAUGCCGCGUGUGUGAAGAAGGCCUGCGGGUUGUAAAGCACUUUCGGUUGGGAGGACUGCUUCUAGCACUAAUAUUGUUGGAAGUUGACGUUACCUUCAGAAGAAGCACCGGCUAACUCCGUGCCAGCAGGCCGCGGUAAUACGGAGGGUGCAAGCGUUAAUCGGAAUUACUGGGCGUAAAGCGCGCGUAGGCGGCUAGAUCAGUCGGGUGUGAAAGCCCCGGGCUCAACCUGGGAACUGCAUCCGAUACUGUCUAGCUUGAGUACAGGAGAGGAGAGUGGAAUUCCACAUGUAGCGGUGAAAUGCGUAGAUAUGUGGAGGAACACCAAUGGCGAAGGCAGCUCUCUGGCCUGAUACUGACGCUGAGGUGCGAAAGCGUGGGGAGCAAACAGGAUUAGAUACCCGUGUAGUC
rnacentral:rRNA from 1 species